UUGAUUUGGUAAUGUGAAUGUUCUCUUUUCAGUUUUGAGUUUUUAUUUAUUAGUUUUGGAAUUGGGAUUAGUUUUGUUGCAUUUUAUUUACACAAUCUUAUUUUUCAGUAGAAACGUAAAAUAUGGAUCUUGUGCCUAUUUCUUUGUGGGAUUGGUGAUGUACUGAUGUUUAUGAGAAAAGUGAAUGCUUUAAAAUGAAGCUUUGCUUUAUAGGUUUAUUCAUUUGAUUUUUUUUUUUUAAAAAAAUAUUAGAGAAUCCUUGAAGCUAUGUUGCAUUUAUGACAUUGUUUGCUUACAUUUUUCGAAUGAAUUCUCUGUUUUACAAUGUUGUUGAAGUUAACUUAUUCUCUCUGCUUUUUUUGUGUAUCAGCUUUGUUCUUUUGAUAACCAAGAUCCCCCAAGUCUGCUCAACUAAAUUUGAGAUCUUUCUAUAGGUAGUUGUCUCUUUUUGGUGUUAUUUGAUGGACGAAGAUGCUGCUGUGAUAACAUUUGGAACGCCUGAAAUGGUGAAUAAGGAAGAAGACGGUUGUAGCCCGAGAGGAGACUCUACAGGGAAGGCAAUGGCCUCAAAGCCUAAAGAGAAAAAGAUUCUGAGGUUGACUAAGUUUGAGUUUCUCUUCGAAUUGUCUCUUUGAUCUGUAUCGUUAAAGAAACAGAGGAGGACGAAGAUGACGUCGGGGACGAGAAUGCCGGCAUGGAGGGAGAGAGAAAACAACAGGAGGAGAGGGAGACGACGGAGAGCAAUGGCAGCUAACUACGAGCUUCCUAUGCAUUGCGAUAACAACGAAGUUCUUAAAGCACUCUGCAUUCUGCAACGAAGCUGAUUGGAUCGUCGAGCUUGAUGGCACCACUUACAUCAAGGAGGUUUUCAACUAUGUGACAAGUUCCCUUAAUUGAUAAAUAAAGAUGAAGAUCGAACAAGAAGGAGAAGAGAAGUGUAUUCGGGAAUCGGAGAAGGAGAAGAGAAGCUGAUGAUUUGUUCAAUGUGUUAAUAAAGAUCUCGACUUUGUUAACUCGAUCCUUUAUCAUCUUAAUUGCUAUUCCGUCUGGUGUUAUUGACGCGAUUGGAUCAUCUGAUAACGAUAACGUUGUUUCUAUCCUCGGCUCUUUCGAUAGUCGUCUCUCUGCUCUUGAAAAGGCUAUGCGUCCCACUCAGAUUAGAACGCAUGCUAUAAGGAAAGCUCAUGAGAAUAUUGAUAGGACUCUUAAGGCUGCUGAGGUUAUUUUGUCUCAGUUCGAUCUCCUUCGUCAAGUUUGUUGCUUCCCCCCAUUUAUGUGAGAUUUCAAUGAUUUGAUUGUAUUCAAAUCGAUCGUUAUAAAUAGAUAGUUCUCGAGCAGAGGUUGGAUCGGUAUGUUAUUCACCAAGUUUAUUAGUCUCACUCCCAACAGUUUUUUUUAGCAUAUGUUAGAUUUACUAUUUUUAGCCAACCUUGGUCCAAUUCUUGUCAAUGCUAGGCAGGAUAGGAGACUUGGCACAAUAUGUUUCAUUCUACUGCACUCUUUUCAGCUAUCAUUUGGUGGGAUUACUGGUCUUUAGA